rnacentral:rRNA from 1 species
UACGGAGGUUCCAAGCGUUGUUCGGAAUUACUGGGCGUAAAGGGAGCGCAGGCGGGUCAGUAAGUCUAAAGUGGAAUCCCGGGGCUCAACCUCGGACGUGCUUUGGAUACUGCUGGUCUUGAGUUCGCGAGAGGAAAGCGGAAUUCAGGGUGUAGCGGUGAAAUGCUUAGAUAUCCUGAGGAACACCAAUGGCGAAGGCAGCUUUCUGGCGCGUUACUGACGCUGAGGCUCGAAAGCGUGGGGAGCGAACGGG